rnacentral:misc_RNA from 1 species
AGGAAUUUCACAUGACAUCGCAUAUCCAUGAUGCAUUGUAAUUUUGAGUGCAGAAUAUGAACUUCGAGCUUAUAAAUACCAACCAAUACCCACGAACAAGAACAGGGUGAAAAGAUUUAAAUCUUGAAGUUGCUUUUUGUUUGCUCUGAAUUAACACAGGAGUGAAGAAUGGAGAAGGAGCAGGAACUGGAGUGGGUUGAAGCACAGAAGAUUGCAAUAAGUGAAGACUUGGUAGCUGCAGCUAAACAGCAGCUACAAUUCCUUGCAGAAGUCGAUAGGCAUCGCCAACUCUAUGAAGACACUGCUUUAGACCGGGCUAUUAUAGGUCACACGCACUACACCAAGUUCUGCAAUUUGUUUAUGUUAGAAGAAAGAAUACAAAUA